rnacentral:lncRNA from 1 species
GGAUUAAUAAAGUGAUGACAUUUAUGUUUAUACUGUACUCUAUUUAGAUGAAGACUUUCAGCAUGAAGAUUGCUGUUCUACUUGGAUUUGUGAUGCUUCUCUCUAUUGCUCUGGUAAGCCAUGCAUAUAGUAUGCACAUGAAAUGCUGGUGCAAAUGUCAUGUUAGACUUCGAAAAAUGUUAAAGUUAGUAUAUUACAUCCAUAUGUAUAUUAAUUCAUUGCCUUAUUGUUUGCUUUUGAAGGCUGAGCAUGACCAUGGCCAUCAGCAUAUCAUUGAGAAGCGCUCUUCAAGUGAAGAGCGUGGCCGUGGCCCUGGCCGUGGCUUUCCAAACUUUCUCCAGCAGUACAACUACUUUCUGCUUCUGCAAAGACUUGGUCUUUUCCCAGCCCCUGCAGCCCCGGCCCCUGCAGCACCUGCCCCUGCAGCACCGGCCCCAGCCCCAGCUCCAGCCCCAGCUCCAGCUCCAGCUGGUCGCUGAGAAAGGACAUGAAUCAGAACCUUCAACUCAACAAGAGCAAGCUAUGGUUGCUGAAGUGACCAGAACAUUAACUGACACUAAGUACUGUAAUAGCUGAUUUCCAUAUUUUGCUUGAGUUUCCCUUUAAUGUACUUGCUGUAUGUCUGUCUGCAAUGCAAUAAAGUGGAUUUGAAAUGGC